AAACACAUAACCCAUAGUUUGCUUGCUCCACUCGGCUCUUGCCGCCGCCUCUGUUCUCGAUUCUCCCGCCUCGUGCUCGCCGUUCCGCGCUUCUUCCCUACCCAGUCCUACAUCACCUCCCCGUCCGCCUUUGGCCCGCAACCGGCGGCCCUCGCCGCUGAUGGACUCCCACUCCCCCACCUCGGCGGCACCGCCGGCAGCUGCUGAAACGGCGCGGUACACAUACAGCCCGAGGCUGCGGUGGCAGCCGGAAGUGGAGGAGUACUUCAACACGGCGUACGGCCGCGACCACUUUGCCCGCAUCUCUGAGGCCCUGGCGCAUCCUUCUUGUUAUUCUUGUAUCCGUGUCAAUACUCUGAAGUCUUCCACUGAUGCUGUCAUGCAUAAACUGCUGGAUUUAGUAUGCAAAAAUGAGCUCUCUGCUGUAAUCAAUGGAUUGGAGGUUGUUGAACUGAAUGGUGGAGACCAAUCACAAGAAGGGUGCUCUCUGGUCCACAAGUGCCCCUAUGCGGGCCUUGAAAAUGUUUUGUUUGUUCAGGGAUCAGGACCACAUGUGCUGCAUUAUGGUAGCCAACCAGAUCAAGCUGUUAAGGAAGUAGUUGUAAGUCGAAAAUGUGCAGAGUCAGUUCUUCGGGGUGCCCAGGUGUAUGUUCCUGGUGUUUUAGCAUGUAGUUCACAUGUUGAAAAGGGUGAUAAGGUUGCAGUGUCAGUCGCUAUUGAGCAGCCUGUCAAGGAAGAUGGCUGGGCUGUGGGCAUAACACGAGGAACCGUUUUACAAGGAUUGCAAUCAGAUGCACAUUAUGAAGAAAGGAAGGGUCUGUACAUUGGUCAAGGAACUGCUGCAAUGUCAAGAUCUGCAAUAUUUCGUGUUCCUCAUGGGAUUGCAGUAGAGAUGACUGAGAGGGUAUACAAGCUCCCAUCUUUCAAUGAUGUGCUUGAAGGGGAAAUAUUUCUUCAGAAUUUACCAAGUGUUGUGACGGCUCGUGUCCUUGAUCCCCAGUCAGGAGAGCGAAUACUAGAUAUGUGCGCUGCUCCUGGAGGAAAAACAACAGCAAUUGCUAUCCUUAUGAGGGACGAAGGAGAAGUUGUUGCCCUUGAUAGAUCUCACAAUAAGGUGAUGGAUAUUCUGAAGUUGGCUUCUGAGAUGGACUUGAGUUGUAUUAAAGCUUAUAAACUUGAUGCUCUCAAAUCUGUACGGAAAACUGAUGAAGCAAGAAGCCUUGGCAUGGCUGAUAAUCACAGUGAAGCAAUUGAAACACCAACAGAGGACCCUUGCCAUGCCACAGUAGGUGGGAGAUCUACCAGUGUAGACGAAGACAGCUCAACAACAACAGUGGUGUUUUCUGAUAACAAAAACCUAAAUUCCAAAAGAUACAUUAGCAAGGCAGAACUCAGGAAGAAUUUAAGGCAGAUGAAGAAUGGACCUGGAAGAAAUAAUUGCUCUGGUGGUAGAGUUGAAAAGUCAAAAGGAUUUUGUCCUAACAGCUUUGAUCGUGUCCUCCUUGAUGCUCCAUGUUCUGCGCUUGGCUUGAGACCUCGGCUCUUUGCUGGUGAGACCCAUUAUUAUGACAGGAAACUCUAGAAUCGCUGAAAAAACAUUCGAAGUAUCAGAGGAAAAUGUUUGAUCAAGCUGUCAAGCUAGUUCGUCCUGGUGGGGUGAUUGUUUAUUCAACGUGUACUAUAAAUCCAGGGGAGAAUGAGGCUUUGGUGAGAUAUGCAUUGGAUACCUACAAAUUUCUUUCACUAGUAUCACAGUACCCGAAAGUUGGAGGGCCUGGUAUUGUUGGUUCGUGCGAGCUGUUCAACAAGACAUAUACUGAGGAAUGGUUGAGAGAGGAUGAAGCUGACCUUGUUCAGAGGUUUGAUCCGUCAUCAUCAGUGGAUACCAUUGGUUUCUUCAUCGCGAAAUUUGAUGUUGGAGAGAAAGAUGAAUAAACAAACGUGACUGAAAUUCCAAUGUUUGGCAUUCACAACUUACGCUAGGGAUAUCAGCAUUGAAUUUUCUGCAAUCAGAUGGCUCACGUAUACCCAUGGAGUGGAAUGCAGCGUGCCCCCUGAAAUUUUGUUUGCCAGUGUUUGAUAUUUUCUUUUGUUCGAAGAACAUUGUUCAUUAUGGUGAAAUGAUGGGGCAAAUUAGAUUCAAGCUCCUGUAGUCCCGUUUCCAAGAAAAAAGUUACCGGGUACCCGUAUCCGUCCGGGUGUACCGGGUAUUUUCUGGGUA